rnacentral:rRNA from 1 species
UACGUAGGUGGCGAGCGUUGUCCGGAUUUACUGGGCGUAAAGGGAGCGUAGGCGGACUUUUAAGUGAGAUGUGAAAUACCCGGGCUCAACUUGGGUGCUGCAUUUCAAACUGGAAGUCUAGAGUGCAGGAGAGGAGAAUGGAAUUCCUAGUGUAGCGGUGAAAUGCGUAGAGAUUAGGAAGAACACCAGUGGCGAAGGCGAUUCUCUGGACUAUAACUGACGCUGAGGCUCGAAAGCGUGGAGAGCAAACAGGAUUAGAUA